rnacentral:rRNA from 1 species
CCUACGGGUGGCUGCAGUGGAGAAUUUUGCGCAAUGCUCGUAAGAGUGACGCAGCGACGCCGCGUGAAUGACGAAGGCCUUCGGGUCGUAAAGUUCUUUCGACAGGGAAGAAAAUGCCUAUAAGUAACUGUGUAUGUAUUGACGGUACCUGUAUAAGCAGCCCCGGCUAACUCCGUGCCAGCAGCCGCGGUAAUACGGAGGGGGCGAGCGUUGUUCGGAGGGACUGGGCGUAAAGAGCACGUAGGCGGUGUUGUAAGUCAUUAGUCAACGACUAGAGCUCAACUUUAGUAAGGCUAGGGAGACUAUAAUACUAGAGUAUGAGGGAGGAUGGCAGAAUUCGUGGUGUAGCGGUGAAAUGCGUAGAUAUGAGGAGGAAUACCGUUAGCGAAGGCGGCAAUCUGGCUGGAAACUGACGCUGAGGUGCGAAAGCGUGGGUAGCAAACAGGAUUAGAUACCCUGGUAGUC